rnacentral:lncRNA from 1 species
GCGGGGCCCGGGGGCGGAGGAAGAGGCGGGAUGCGCCCUCUGCACCCCUAGAGCCAGAAGACGCUAGGUGGGCUGCGCGCUCUGCCAGGCGAAGGCUGGAGCGCAGACGGCAAAGCCGCGCGUUUCAGCCGUGGUCGGGUCCGCAGGACCUGGGCGUGGGGACACCACCAGGCAGGAGCAGAGGCAGGACUGGGACGCCAAAAGCUGAGAAUCCUCGAUGCCCGCGCGAGAGCCCCGUGUUAUGGCGAGUUCUGGAGGCUGGGAAGUUCAAGACCAAUGCACGAGAAUUUGGUCUAAAGAGAAUCUUCUUGCUCUGAACACACAUAGUAGAAGGCAGAAGGGCAAGAGAGAGAACAAAGUCUGUGUCUCCACAUGGCAGAAGAGCAGAGGAGACAGAACCUACUCCUCUAUGGCAACCACCCCAUCAAUGACAAAAAUCCUAGAAGGAUGUAUGUAUAGGAAGUUGAAGUGUUGAGAAGAGAAUGGCUCAGAGUCAAGCGGGAACAAGAUUCAAACUUCAGAGAGAGAGGGAAGAAAAACAUUUAAAUAUAUCUGGCAUAAUCCAAGACUAUUUACGACAAGUGUUCUGUGUUUCUAAUAAUAAAACAGACUUCACCUCGGAGUACCUGCAGAACUGGGACCCCAAUGACCAGGGAGAAUGAAGAACAACUUGUUGAAGGUAUAGAGAAGGCAGCAAAUCAUACAAGAAGGUCCAUCCCAAACCAGAGAUAGUAUAGAUAAAUCUCUCAUGUUAACUAUGGAAAAAAUAAAGGAAGAUGACGUAUUUUAAUAGAAGGGAAAUUGCGCUUAUUGGGAGUAAGAACACUGAAUUGACUGAAUAUCUUAAAGAGAGUUAGGAAGUGAAAUUCUCAACAGGUGAUUAUUCUUUGACCAAUUUUGUCUUAUCUCUUAUCCACAUUCUUCCCUGCUCUUCCCAAUACAUGUGUAAGAAUAUCCAAGGGCACACACAUACCAUAAGCAGGAAUGGUGUCCUAAGGAAAGUCAAUAUAGAGAGUAAGAAGUAUAUCUGUCACAAUGUGUACAUGUAUACAUCCUAAAUAUUUGUACAAUUAAUUUACUUCUCUUCAUUUCCAACACUCCUAGUCUAUGCUAUGAACAUCUCUUACCUAAAAUGCUACAGAUGUCCCCUAAAUUUUUCCAUAAAUCAGUUUUUUCCUCUCCAAGCUGUAAGCAGAAAUGCAUUUUUAAAUUGCAUAUAUGACCGUGACACGUAUCUGUCUCAGUUUAUAGAACAGGUCUCUAACAGGGCCAGCAGCUUCCAGUCACUUCUGUCCCUUACCUUUUCUCCAGUCUCAUUUUACAUAUUUUUUUACAUGCUCUCUAUAUUCCUGUAAUUAAAUAUUACUUUCCCCUCAAUGCCUUUGGACUGCUUCUUUCCUCCACAUUAAAUACUUUUUACCACUUCCCUCAGUUCAGUUCAUUCUCCUCCGUGUUUAGAGCUCAGCUCAGAUAUCCUUUUCUCAUGGAGACAUUCUCUGGCCAACCCAGACUAGAUCAUUUUCCCUUGCUGUAUACUUUCAUACCUCCCUCUGUCUUUCCUUCAUAACACUUUGGUAAGUGUGUACAACUGCAUCCUUGUUUUUAUUUAAUUUCCUCUCACUGCCAUGUUCUGUAAACUCAAUGCAAGCUGAGUCUGCCUAUUUAUUUCACUAUGCGACACCUAACUCCUAACAAAGUAUUAAACAAAAUAGGUGCCAAAAUAUCUGUUAAGCCAUUGUGUGAAUGUAUAAA